GAAUGCUGACAUAAGUAACGAUAAAGCGGGUGAAAAGCCCGCUCGCCGGAAGACCAAGGGUUCCUGUCCAACGUUAAUCGGGGCAGGGUGAGUCGACCCCUAAGGCGAGGCCGAAAGGCGUAGUCGAUGGGAAACGGGUUAAUAUUCCCGUACUUGGUGUUACUGCGAAGGGGGGACGGAGAAGGCUAUGUUGGCCGGGCGACGGUUGUCCCGGUUUAAGCGUGUAGGUGUGUGUUCCAGGUAAAUCCGGUUCACUUUAACACUGAGGCGUGAUGACGAGGCACUACGGUGCUGAAGCAACAAAUGCCCUGCUUCCAGGAAAAGCCUCUAAGCAUCAGGUAACAUCAAAUCGUACCCCAAACCGACACAGGUGGUCAGGUAGAGAAUACCAAGGCGCUUGAGAGAACUCGGGUGAAGGAACUAGGCAAAAUGGUGCCGUAACUUCGGGAGAAGGCACGCUGACACGUAGGUGAAGUGAUUUACUCAUGGAGCUGAAGUCAGUCGAAGAUA
rnacentral:rRNA from 1 species